AGGUUCUCCAGAUUGUGACGGAUAGCUGUAUAAAAGAAGAAUAUAUAGACCUAUAUGUACAGGCUGAGAAUAAAGAUUGAUGUGGCAUUGUUUUAUCUGAUGAAGUGUCUGAGAAAACUAAGAUUUUUUGGCCUAAAGAUCGUUUCAAGAAUGUAAUAAAGCAUAAUCAUUUUGGUUGUACCAGUUAUCUCCCAAGUGCUAAUGACACAGACAGAGGGUUCCAAGUUCUCUACAUAACUAAAGAAAAUCUCUGUAGGUUCUACAAAUUGUGAUGGAUAACGGUGUAGAGGAAGAAUACAUAUAUUUACAG